GUGUUUGGUUCUAACGAGGAAUAAAAUUAACUAGAAGAAAUGUCGCAAUAUUUUUAACGACACGUUUUACUUUCGACAAAUUGACACUAGAUUUACCAGAAUAUUACAAGCUGCUUACUGUUUCCUUCAUUUUCAUUCAAGUCACACGAAUUACAAUUAUAGUGAACCAAGGUUUUUAUUGGCAUCGAGUAUUUAAAUUUGGCGCUUGCCUUUGGCGGUUGAGGACUCCAAUGUCAAUAAGGGUGGUUUUGCAAAAUCAGCCUCUAUGUCGCUUCUCUAUGUUCUCUGGUUCUGUGGUCAACAUUGUGCGUCAAAUUUGACAUUUUAGAUGUCUGGUAUUUAAUGAUUUAUUAUUUUUAUUGAAUAGAAAAUGGGCGUUCGAACAAAUAAAUAGAAUAAAUAAUCUUGUGGAAACUGUACACAGGGCACAGGACACAGGGGUGUGGUAUGCUGGUAUGGACACAGUUGCGAGGGCUGCUUUUAUAUGUUGGCGAGAUGAAGGGCUGCAAGGCUAAAAGGUGAAUGCUUCAUGUAGCAUCUUAGGAUUACCAAGUGGUGGAUCAUCAUCAAAGGCGUUAAAGUGACACAGAAGUUUAUCAUCUAUGAUGACAUUACGUGCAACGGCAAAAUAACUACAUGUGUCACAGGUUCCAAGGGAAUUUUAAAGAAGCCGCUGAAGCAGGUUUUUUCAUUGUGCCUGCAAUCACGAGGUGGUCUACCACUGAUGUUCAUCUUACUAUGAAAAGGUUCUCACAAUUACUUCAUUAAUUUCGCUAACAACAAAUAUUUAACCAAAAACAUCAAAGUACUUUUCCCAGGGAAGAUGAAAACAACAGCGUUCAUUUUCUGACUCUUCAAACGGUUCACACUUGGCGAAAAUUGAAGGCAUUGACAAAAUAGUAGAUAUCUUAAUGUUGAAAUAACUUGGUAAAGUGAAUAUAAGCACAAUUCUUUUUUUUUAUUGUUCAAAAUGGUAUUUUCUUCAUGAACUUCAUACCACACUUCAAAUAUUGGUUUCAGUUUCUUAAUAUUCGUCCAAAGUUUAUAUCAGUUUGUUUAACGUUGUCUUACGGACGAGCUGUAUCACAGUAUAGAUAUCAAUCAGUAGGGACAACUCGCUAUUUUUACUGACUCGUUUUCAUGGGUGGUCGUUUGUCUUGUGACCGUAUGAGGGCGCGCAACGCAAGGUAUUUAUCUUUCUUACACAUUGGAACUGCGGUACUUUGGUUAUCUAGUGACUUUAAUAUGAAACAUUUGACAUUUGGCAGUUUAGUUGCGUUGGUUUUGAUGAUAUAAGGCUGAUGUUCUGUGUAAUUAUUGCAGUUAAAUGUAAUUUUCACAGAGACGUUUUAAAAAGCGUUAUUCUCGUUUUCAUAGGACCAUUGUUUACUGUUUGAUUUUUUUGUAAAAAAAAUUAAAUGUGCAUAUGUAUAUUAGCGUUUUCUAGUAACGUUGAAUUUUACAACCAUUUACAGCCAUCAUGGAAAAGAAAUUAAUGAAACGUAAAAUCGUAAUCAGAGAAGCGGGCCACAUCUAAAUUUCAACAUGGCAUCUCUGUUAUAGGGCGCUUAAUUAAUUAUUUAUUAUAAUAGACUGUGUGGUUUCUAAGAUCAACUAGUUACAAAAUGUUAUUGUUAUUACACUAUUUUUAAUUCUUUUCCAAAAAUUCAUUUGCACAAAGUGUAGUAAAUUGUUUACACGAAUCAAUUUUAAAAUGAAGCGUUUGUGAUCCUUUUUAAAUUGGGGGGCGACAUCUAGAAAUAUUUUGGGAAACGACCACCGAUUACGGCUUAAAAUUCAGGUCAGAAAUAUCAAAGGCGCCGACACGAGUUAUCCCUACUGAUUGAUGUCUAUACUGUGGCUGUAUUUGUAAUUUAGGCAACCAAUAUUCCACUUCGUUUCAAAAAUCCCGCCUAAUAAAAACCAAUUUUAACAACAUGCCAAAAGUGGUUAAUCUUUCUUCCGAAAAUACAAAGUUCUUCAUAAAUGGAAGAAGACAAGAUUAAAAAAUAACAAUCAUUAAGUUUAUUCGAAAAAAAAUUGUAUUAUCUUUAACAUUUUUUGGUACCUUUGUAGUGUUUACAUUCUGAUUAAUUAUUGUAAUGUGUAAAGUGUUCGUGAAUAAAAUUAUCUGUUAAUCGUUA